AAGUCGUAACAAGGUUUCCGUAGGUGAACCUGCGGAAGGAUCAUUACCGAGUUAGGGUCCGCAAGGGCCCGACCUCCCACCCUUUGUUGUCGAACAAACCUUUUGUUGCUUCGGCGGGACCGUCCCCUUGGCCCUCGCGGGCUUCGGGGGGCUGCCGGGUCCCUCGACCGGGUAAGCGCCCGCCGGAGAAUCAUUAAAAUCCGACAUUUGAACAUUCUGUCUGAGUAGAUUUAUACAAAUCAAUCAAAA
rnacentral:misc_RNA from 1 species